CAGUCGCCGCGGUAAUACGUAGGUGGCGAGCGUUGUCCGGAAUUAUUGGGCGUAAAGGGAGCGCAGGCGGACAUAUAAGUCCAUCUUAAAAGUGCGGGACUCAACCCCGUGAGGGGAUGGAAACUGUAUGCCUUGAGUGCAGGAGAGGAAAGCGGAACUCCCAGUGUAGCGGUGAAAUGCGUAGAUAUUGGGAGGAACACCAGUGGCGAAGGCGGCUUUCUGGACUGUAACUGACGCUGAGGCUCGAAAGCCAGGGGAGCGAACGGGAUUAGAUACCCCCGUAGUCCCUGUCUCUUAUACA
rnacentral:rRNA from 1 species